rnacentral:pre_miRNA from 1 species
ACAACAUUCGGGCCGUCGGUCUACCGAGCAAUAUCACCCGCUCGAUGGAAAAUCUGCCCAUUAGCCU